rnacentral:lncRNA from 1 species
AUAAAACGGAGGGUGCAAUAUGAAUGCUAGCGCCAAAGAAGGGAGGAGAAAAUGGCUAUUAUAGGACUCCAAUCGUUGUGGUUUCUCUCAAAUAGGACUGCAAACAUUUGUGUAUAUCAUGGACAAAUGUUUGGAGUCCUAUUUUAGAGAAGCCACAACGAUUGGAGACCUAUAAUAGCCAUUUUCUCAGAAGGGAAGGAGGUUUUUUUGGGUAACCUCCAAGAACUAUGAAGAUGUGUAUAUCAUGGACAUAAUUUAAAUCUUAUCUAGCAGUGCUUUUACUUUACAGAAAUCACAAAGAAGAAGCUGUAUUCCAGUAAACUGACAAAGAAUGAAGUAUAGGGGAAAAUUUCACAAGGGAGGCCAACGGAGGGGCCUCCCAGUGCCAACGCCGGAGAUCAAACCCAGAUCACCGGCUUGA